UACGUAGGUGGCAAGCGUUGUCCGGAUUUAUUGGGCGUAAAGGGCGCGUAGGCGGUUCGUUAAGUCCUGUGUGAAAUCCCCCGGCUCAACUGGGGAACUGCACAGGAAACUAGCGGGCUUGAGUUCGGGAGAGGGAAGCGGAAUUCCCGGUGUAGCGGUGAAAUGCGUAGAUAUCCGGAGGAACACCGGUGGCGAAGGCGGCUUCCUGGACCGACACUGACGCUGAGGCGCGAAAGCUAGGGGAGCAAACGGG
rnacentral:rRNA from 1 species